UGGCAAUUUCUUUUAAACAAGUUAAAAGAAGCAAUGGCAGAAUAUAUGUUUGUGUAUACAAUCAUUUGUCAGUGCUACCAAACCGUACUGCCAUAUUAUCAGUGAGACAAACCAAAAAGAGCGGAUCAUA